rnacentral:rRNA from 1 species
UACGUAGGUGACAAGCGUUGUCCGGAUUUACUGGGCGUAAAGGGCGCGUAGGCGGUCGUGACAAGUCACUUGUGAAAUCUCCGGGCUUAACUCGGAACGGUCAAGUGAUACUGUCGGACUAGAGUACAGAAGGGGCAACUGGAAUUCUCGGUGUAGCGGUGAAAUGCGUAGAUAUCGAGAGGAACACCUGCGGCGAAGGCGGGUUGCUGGGCUGAUACUGACGCUGAGGCGCGAAAGCCAGGGGAGCGAACGGG